ACCCGCAGAUGCUCUAAAUGUAUGCUUGUGACUCUGAAACCGCACAUCACCUUUGAUGAAGGGCUGAGGCCUUCACAUUGUGUUCUUGCCUGACAGUUAUGUAAAAUGCAGGCCACCAAUUCUCCCGCUUGCCUGGGGUAGGUGCAUACUGGGAAAAGGUGUUUAAAGUAGUAGGACAGGGUUAGUCCCAUUCUCAGGAGAUUAGAGAAACACGGUUUAAGCAUCUUUAUCCUGGGGACUCUCCCAAGAGAAAGUCUAAACUGGAGCUGAAUUACUCUGCGCAGCACAGCGGGUGCUUGCUCCACUUGUCAUGGCUGCCAGUGACUCCUGUGUUGCUAACUUCUCUCAGACAAGAAUAGCCGAACAGAUACAACACUCAGACAAGUUCAAGGCCGAACAGAUACAACACUGAGUGUUCAGCCUCAGCUCAUCAUGGCGAUUAGAAGGCAGCAAUCCACAAAUUUACUUCCUGCCGGUUGGAGUUACCCGGGGAUCCUAAAGGAUGCAAAAGUUCAUGGAGAUCAAGGCAGAUCAUCCUCUUGUGGAGGGCGACAAGACACAUACUAUUAAAAGAAGUAGUCAAGUCCUGGGAUUAAGACUACACUCCACUUGCAGAUCUGAGAAACAGGUACCUAACCUCCCAAAGAAGAGCUCUCAGGGGAAUUCUCUGAAUUCACAGUGCAUUUCCUUCCACUCUUAUACUGAAUGAAAGACAGAGCAUCACAUGCUCUUAUCCCUGAACUUCCUCUGAUCACCAUGCAUUUAAUAUUUGGAGAAAUAGCAACACCUUAAUCAAGCCUCGGGCAUCUGUUUAAAUUCUACCACAAUGAUAUAAAAUAUGCAAAGACCAGCAGAGACCAGGAAAUGUCUGUCUUCUUUCUUUCCUCCCAGCAACCACAAAGGGAUGAGGCACAUUUUUGCAAGCUAAUAGUGACUGACCUCCCACGACAUAUGGAAUGGGGUCUAUGAUGUCCUCCCUGCUGAUCCGUAAAACCUGACAUGCAGCUGCUCAGUUCCCACGCCACCUCAAUCCCUGCACUCUUCUUCCUUGUGGAGCUUCGCUGUUCGUUUGUUGUAAUUUAUUGAGAAAAUUAUAUCUUGCAAAAUUAGCUGUCAAAAUGUGAGCCUGUGGUUUUGGAGUAUUCGUACAUCAGGAAGACGGAAAGAAGAUCUUCAUGAAUGGUCUGCAUUAAAUAAAUAAAAAGGCUAUUGGUGAGCCACAAUGCUCUGCUGCUAUUUCACGGUUUGGUCUGGUCAGCAAAGAAACACGUCUCACGGCUUCCCAGUGGUCAGAUAAUAUAGACCAAGUUGCAUCAGGACUCGGUAUGACCAUUACCUGCUCCUGGGGACAGCAUCAAAGUGUGAAAUUUGUACCUGUGCCUCCCUUUUGGACUGGGUACAAAUGAUAAUGUGUAUUAUUUUCUUUUUAAAAUUAUUUUCCAUUGUUAUUGCAGUGACUAUGGUAAAUAUUUUGAUGAUAGAAUCAUUGAAAAAUAUUUGCCAAUAGGAAAAUUGUACAUGGAUUCUCAGACCAGGGUUUAGGUCAAAGCACAGCAGUGUGAGGUAGAAGAGAGCAUUUAAAGAGAAAAGUUGGAAGUCAAGGACUGUGUGAAAAUGUCAAAUAAUCUUUGACAUUUCACUGAGUGUUCCUCCUUGGCUUCUGAAUCACUGUGCCAUGCUUCUGAUGUGUGUGCCUACUGCAGUAAUAACUCCAGGCCUGAACAGAAGUAUCUAGCAAAACUUUGCUUCUGUUCCCCAGCUCUGCCUCAGGUGACAAACAGGACCGUGGCCAUCUUCCCCGUUCUGACAUGGUGUUGUGGCUCCUCUGACUGAGAUCAAGGUAACAGACAGACAUGUGCACACUUCCUGUGCAGCUUUUCUGUGUGCCUCUUAGGAAUCCAGUACUGUCCAGGGUCAUUCAGUCCAGCCUGGCUCCAAAGUGCGGAGCAAGCGUCGUUGUGAAAAGAGAGCACAGAGUGGGAAUGAAGGUGACAGGAGCGUGCAGGGCCAUAAUGAAGGUAACCACAAUGUGCAGAGCAGUAGCCAAAGUGACAAAAAUGUGCAGAGCAAUAACGAAGGUAACAGGAGAGUGCAGAAAAAGCAUGGUAAGCAGAAGGCUGGGAGAAAAUGACCAUUGAAUUACAGAAGGAAAUUGUAGAAAUGCACGAGCGUGGUAUUCACGUGACUAAUCUGGCCUCGGAGUAUAAAAUGAUGAAGUUGGCAAUCAUGACUGUUUUGAAGCAUAAAGAUGCCAGCAAAGGAGCUGAUGGGCAAAAGGAGUAAUGCUGUUAACCAAGCAGAGGACACAAGUGCUGGAAGAGCUGAAAAAACUUUGUUAGUGUAGUUAAAUGAGAAACCGGCAAUGGCGUUAGUGAAGCUAUGGUCUGCAAAGAGACCGGGAAACUGCAGUGAUUUACUACAAGAAAAGCCCUCUGUAAGAGCAACAGUGAUGAAUUCAAAGCCAGUAGAGUGUAUUUUAAUAAAUUCUGCAAAGGAAGUGGUGUCCACGCUGUGAUAAGACAUGGUGAGGCUUCCCGUUCCGACAAGGCCACUGCAGAAGCUGACUGGAAAGAAUUCGUGGAAUUCAUGAAGGCAGAAGGAUGCAUUGCUUAACAAGCGUUCCGCUGCAGUGAAACAGAACCUUUAUCACUCAGGAUGAGGUGGCUUCUUCUGACGGACAAUGCCCUCCAGCUUUGGUGGGUGAUAUGGAGACUAAGUAUGACUUCAGAAAGUUCAACGUCUUCCCCCCAAGAUGACACCUCUCCUGCAGCUCAUGGGCCAAAAAGUGAUCUGCAGCUUCAAGAAGCUGUACACAAAGGUGCUCUUCACCAGGUAUUUUAAUGUCACUGAAGAGAUGUCCCUGACUCUGAAGAGUUCUGGGGGAAGCUCUUCAAUGUCCUCUAGUGCAUCAGCCUCACUGAAUAAGCUGGGGAAGAUGUCACACUCCGGACCUGAAAUUCAGCCUGAAGGAAGCUGGCCAGACCUAUCACUGAAUGAGACUUCGAAGGGUCUGAUGCACAGAGAGUGGCAGAGACUGUGUUCACGGGCAGGAGUGUGGGUCUGGACAUUGAUGGUGCAGACACAGAGGAGCUUGUUGAGAACCAUAAGGAGAAGCUGAUGGUGGAAGAACUUGCUGCACUCCAGAGUGAGCAGCAGAAGGCGCUUGCUGAGGAGCACGCCCUGAGGAAGAGGAAGACAGGGAGGAGAUGAAUAGCGACAUGAUAAAAUCCACUAUGGAAAAUGGAAUGAAUACCAGGAUUUCUUUGAGAAGCACCACCCCGACAUAACUGCAAUGGCCAGUGUGUUGUAUCUGAUGAAAGACAAUGUGGUCUCUCACUUCCAGAGGGUUAGGCAGUGGAGGAAAAAACAAGUGAUAUUAGACAGAUUUUCAUCAAAACUGACCCUGAAGCUAAAGAUGAAGAAGAGAGGAAAUCCCUGAAGGAGAUCUUCCCAAUGUCCUCACGGAGGGGGCUUUCCCUGCAAAGAAUAACCUCCUCCCCAUGACCAGAAGUCACCUCCAAGCCAAAGUCUCCUCAGGCAAGCUUAGUGUUCUCUUUCUUCAGACUGUAAGGUACUUUGUUUUAUUUUUUCUGGUUAAAAAAUAUGCUACGGUUCAGAAUAGAUAGGCCUUCUUUACACCAAACCUUAUGGGAAAUUUGACUCAGUUCACGAUCAGAAUCAUGGAGUGAAUUAAGUUCGUAAAACGAGGCACUGCUAUAAUUUGUCUUUUGCUUGUCUAUGUGUGUAUAGUUGUUAUCUUCCCCACAGCUGGGCUGCAAAUUCAGUUUCUGGAACACAGCAGACACUAGAUUAGUAACACUAAGUAAAUAACUAAACAGGAAGAAAAUAGAAUUGAAUAUGGAGUAAAGGACAUAACUAAAAAUAAAAAUGGCUCAUAAAUUGGACUGCAUAGAUACCUAAGCACAUGACUGAGUAACCCCCCUACAAUUCCUGAUAUAUUUUUGAGCUUGGAAGAAAGAGUAUCUGCCUGUGCCUGUAUGUCUUUCAAGUUUAUACAACGGAGAAAAAAAUGGAGAUUGUACAAAGUUUAGCAGUGUCUUCAGGGGCUUUACACACAAACAUGUUGCUACAGCUUAACCUCUGGUUGUGUCUGAGAAUGCCGUGAUUCUGUAAAAAAAAAAAAAAAAAAAAAAAUGUAGAUGUUUGUAUUCCACCUUACAGCUGAUGAUUUUAAACUCAUCAGAAUUUCCAGACCUCAGUGUAUGUUUAAAUUCCACAAGUCACCCUGAGAUUGUCCAGAGCUGAGGAUUCCUUACUAAGGAUUAUUGCUGUCAUUCUGCCCAAAGAAGGGGCAGAAAAUGCUGGACCUUUCCCCUUGAUCUUUCCCUAUCUUAUCUCAGUCUGUGUGUGUGUGUGGUGGGGGUGGGUGUGGGGGUACUGGAAAUCUGGGGACUGCACUCAGGGCCUUCCCAGUGAGCCACAUGCCCAGCCCAUUUUUUAUUUUUUUAUUUUGAGACAGGGUCUUGCUAAGUCACUAAAUUAUCUGAGUGGAGUUUAAACUUGCAAUCCCCCUGCCUAAGGCUCCUAAAAUGCUGAGAUUGAAGAUGUGCGCCAUCAUCCCCAGCUUUUAGUCUGGGGUUUAGCUGAAGGAGUGGAAGACCCCACACCUCUUGGUAAAAGGAUACAGCUGUAGCUCAGCUGUAAUCUGCACAAGAUGAAGCCGCUCUGGAGGCGUCAGCAGGUGUUACCUGAGCCCUGUGUGGACGAGCACUGACCUGCCUUCCCUCCUUCUCACUCCCCCUUUUCUCCUGCCUUGUAACCUC